rnacentral:RNase_P_RNA from 1 species
GCAGUUGAUUAGGCAAUCGCUCGCCCUUGACGGGCUAGAGGAAAGUCCGGGCAGCAUAGGAUACAACAGUCGCUAACGGCGACCGGGGGUGACCCUAGGGAAAGUGCCACAGAAACGAUACCGCCAUCUCAAACAACAACUUGUUGCGACUGAUGGUAAGGGUGAAAGGAGUGGGGUAAAAGCCCACAGUCGACCGCGGUGACGCGGAAGAGAGGUAAACCCUGUUGGCUGCAAGGUGGCUGGUACACAUAGGGCUAUCCGUCCGUGCCAACCGAUAUCCGCUUGAUCCGCCUGGCAACAGACGUGGCUAGAUAGAUGAUUGUCCUCGACAGAACCCGGCUUACAAAUCAACUGCAUAU